rnacentral:tRNA from 1 species
GCCGUCUUAGCUCAGUGGUAGAGGGCGUGGCUUUUAUCCACGUGCCCGUGGGUUCGAUCCCCUCAGACGGCG